rnacentral:rRNA from 1 species
CCCAUAACUCAGGGAUAGCCUUUCGAAAGAAAGAUUAAUACCUGAUAGUACUUUUUCAAGGCAUCUUAGAAAAAAGUUAAAGAUUUAUUGGUUAUGGAUGGGAUGCGUCCAUUAGAUAGUUGGUGAGGUAACGGCUCACCAAGUCUUCGAUGGAUAGGGGUUCUGAGAGGAAGGUCCCCCACAUUGGUACUGAGACACGGACCAAACUCCUACGGGAGGCAGCAGUGAGGAAUAUUGGUCAAUGGGCGAGAGCCUGAACCAGCCAAGUAGCGUGAAGGAAUGAAGGUCCUAUGGAUUGUAAACUUCUUUUAUAGUAGAAUAAAGUGAGCCACGUGUGGUUUUUUGUAUGUAUACUAUGAAUAAGGAUCGGCUAACUCCGUGCCAGCCGCAGC